rnacentral:misc_RNA from 1 species
ACCUCUGGAUAUCCCUCCCCUUCUCUGGCCUUGCUUUAGCAUUUCGUGUUUUUUCUUAUUCUUCUGUUUUUCUUUGCUUCUUCUCUUCCUUCCCGUCCCCUUCCCCCCUCCCGAUCUCGCGGUUACCCUCGAUCCGUCAAAAGAAAAAAAAGCACAGAAAAAAUUUCUCCCCCACCUUUUCUAACCCCCUCUGUCGCUCGAAUUCUUUUUAAGAUCCCCUCCCCCCCUCUCCCUUUUCGUCCUCUGCAUAACUCCACAUCAUCAUCGUUGCCUCCCCCUUCUCUCCCACGGCGCUUGCAGGCCUCCCAGCCGUGCAAAACGACUCCGAUACCAGUUAGCGUGAAAAGCACCGUCGGCAACGGCAGGGGAUCGAGGUGGCGAAGGAAACAAAAGGUCAUCGACAGAAAAGAACACAAGCGACCCCCACAUCCUACAGUGACCCGAGUCUGGUGCUUGCUCUCCUCCAGCGGCGCUGUAACCUCUUGUCAGUAUCCUGCCGCGCGAAAAGCUCCUCCCCGCUGAAACUGGCGCAUCUAUUAUUGUCUCUUUGUUUUGGUGAAGUGACCGAGAGGUCUGUGUGUGUGUGUCUCUCCUGCAACUCAGCGUCGGCAAGAGCGGACGUGGCUUUCGCUUCGACGUCGUCGUUGUGGGCAGGAAAAGCUGAGUCAGGGGCUGCAUUGAAAAAAACACACGCACACAAAGAAAGUACUCGAACGAGCAAAGAGCACCGCCAAAGAAAAACAACGAAGUUUUCACGCUGCCCCUACGACUGGCCAAGGCUCUUUUUGACUCUAUUUUCUUAUGUAUUAGGUUGUACGCCACUACCCUGAAGUUUCGCCACCCAUCGUCUCCACGUCAUAAAGGUUAGGUGCGGCUAUCCAGCUCUUACGUCUUAUAUAUCUGCUUUUUUUUUGCACUCUCUUCAUCUGUAACCAGCAAAAGAAAGAGGGAGUCGAACGCUGGCCUGCAUCUUUGGCUGUCUCACCGCAUCUUUUCAUUUUUUCUCGUGUCUCCUACCCGACCUCGUCGUGCUGUGUGUCUCGUACUUGAUACCAGCUUCCUCAGUGGACCUCUCCCUCUCUCUAUCUUGUUCUCUCGCAUUUAUAGCUUUUUGAUCUUCAAAUCUUUGUGCAGUAACACGCAUCUGCCUUCGUCUUUUUUCUCCCCUCUCUGUUUGUGUGGCCUUGCUUCACCUCUGCUAACCCCUCCACCGGCUGUUAAUAAUCCAAGUCUGGCUCUCAGACUAAGCUCUCUCGCUUACUUACUCUGCUCGGCUGGCUGGGGUUGUUCUACGGCAUAUCCACAAGAAAACGAAAUCAAAAGGCAAACUUUUUCACCCCUCCCUGUCUUCACGCCGGAGCGCGAAAAGAGAGCAAAGGGUGUCGCCACAUCCUUUGCUCUCUCUCUCUUCGCCUUUGCUUCCCUUCAAACAGCCGAAGCGAACGAAAAAAAAAAACUCCGGUCUAUACAACCGACGAAGAAACGAAAAGGAAUAUAAUAACAUAGAACGGAAAGCCGGCGACGCACUCGUCCUCCCCCCAGUCUUACUGUGUUGCAGUGUACAGUAUCACUUUGUGUUCGAAUUUCUCUUCUUUGUUUCUCUCAACCCCCCCUUCUCCUCUCCUCUUCUCUCCCACCGAACUUUUUUUUGAGUUUUCUGUUUUCUCUUCUCCCCCUCUGUCAGCGAGGACGCUACAGCAUUUUGGCAGACGAAAACCGGGUGAGCGACUAAUAAUAAUAAUAAAGGGGAAAGUGUGAAUCAAAUUCUUGUUUUCUUUUCACUUCUCGGCUGUCUGCUCGCUGCUGCCGUCAGCGCUUUAUUUCUCGCUCGUAUCUACUUCUUCGUGGCUAUCACUACACUCACGCUUUGUUGUUUUGUUUCUUGAGUGUGUGUGUGCGCGCCACCCCUCCCCCAGUGCCUAUACAAGGACCCUCAACUGCGUAUUGGGCUCAUUGUGACUCACAAAAGAUUUGUUUUAGAACGCAGCGCACGAUUGGUACUUCUCGUUUCUCCAUCUGCCGCCCCUUCCGUUUUCUCGCUUGCCAGUGACAGCCCCCCUCCCCUCCCCAAGCUUAACUUCUCUUUGUUGCCAUUUCUCUGCUUCUUUUCCGCUCCUAGCAUCAAAAAAAUACAAAUUUUUUGGCGUUGUUUCUCCCUCCUCCUCCUCUUUUUUUUUGUUUGGUUCUUCGGCCUCUCUCUCUUCCUGUUCUUUUUCGUUUCUGUACCGAAGUAUAUUUGUGUAACUCUCCCGAUUUCGUCCCCUUUGUCGUGUCGCGUGGUUUCUGUCUCCCUACUGUACGCCCUUGAUUUCCUGUCCUCUACUGUUCUCUCUCUCCCUCCUCCCCUAGUGACCUUGGUCUACGCUCUCAGUCUGUUUUCCUGGUGUCGUUUUUUUUUCUCGGCCUUCUUUUUGUUAUUGUCGCCCCCACUGUAUCUUUUCUUUUCCCUGUCACUCUCAUCGUUUUAAUUUCGGUUUUUUUUUUCUUUAGCAUCUGUGUGUAUUUUCCUUCGCGCCUGCCCAGUACCCUUCUUUACCUUACCAUUGCCUGUUGUAGGUUUGUUGGUCCCCCGCCCUCCAAAAGGUGCCCAGCAUACACUGCCCGUGCGUACCGGCCGAAUUGGGUACAGGACAGCAAGGCGAAUCGCAAGCGCUCGCCGGGAGCGGAUUAUUUUCCAUCUAGUCGCUAUUUCUAGUUCAUCUUUCUCUUUGUUAGUCUUUUCGUAUUUCUAGUGUCUCGGCAGCUUCUUUUUUUUCCCUUUCCCCUCUUCCUCUCCGCGCCCAGAGGUAGCACACUCGAUCGUUGGUCGGCUCUCGAGCUGUGUAACGUGUUGCUGUUCUUCCUUUCAUCUUCGUGCAUCUGUCCCUCUCUCUCUCAACCUUCUUUUUGCUCCGGUAUCUCAUCUUGCUCACGAGUACAUUCCCCCGCUCCUCCUCCGUUCUUCCCGUGUCUCUCUGCCCGCGCGAGUGCUCUUUUUUUUGAUUUGUCUGCGCGCCGCACUUCUUGUCCCUCUAUGCGAGUGCGUGUGUUCACCUUGUUGUUUCACAUUCUCUUCUCUUUGUUUCCUCAAUUUGUUUCUGGGUUUCACGGCUUUUUGGUGUGAUCUGCCCUAUAAAGAUACAGUGACGCUGCUCUCUUCCUCCCCUUCUGCUUUCCCUUCCGUCGCACACAUACAGACACCGCCAUAGAAACAGAGGGCCGCCCUCUUUAUUCUCCCUCUACGUCACACUCGUUUCGUUGUGUGUGCUUUAUUUGUGUACCGGACCUUCUUGGCAGCCGCUACUGUCACUUGCAGGUGUCUUACGUUUGUUGUGAUCUCCCCUCCCUUUUUUUUUUCACAAUCUGCUCUCUGCCUCCCUCCCUCUCAGUCUGUGUGUCUGUGUGUGUGCGUGUGUCAGCUUCUCCUUCUUCGUUGCUUCAGCUAACGGCUCAUUGAGAAACGCCUGGUACUUGCGCAGCAGAAGCAUCGGGGGAAGAACAGGCAUUUGUAUCACACCCUCUCCUCCAUUGUCUUUUUUUUUGCAUUGCAGCACGGAGCUGACAACGUACCUGUCCGACUUAACGAGUGUCUAUGUCUCUCCAGAACUUGUUUGUGGCCAAACUGCCGCGCAACAUUAACGAUGCGGACCUCCUCCAUAUCUUCAGCGAGUUUGGCCCCUCCAGUGCUAAGAUUAUGCUGGACGCCGCGACCGGCAAGAGCAAGGGAUUUGGUUUUGUGCUCUUCGACGAGGAGGAGAAGGGCGCCAAGGCGUACAAAGCACUGAACCGUAAGAUGGCACGUGCGUGUGGGCACAGUUUCACGCUGGUGAUCUACCCCUCCAACCACAAUGGUAAGAUCUUUACCGAAGAGAGCAACGUACUGUAUAUCCGCAAUAUCCCGAUGAGCGUCGGGCAGGAAAAGAUGGAGCGCUUUCUGAAGACCUUCGGCAACUUGAUCUACUUUGCCAUGCGUGAGGACCAUUACGGCAAUCCCGUGUGGGUCGUCUACGCCGAGUACGAGACCGUCGAGGAUGCCAAGAAUGCCCUAGCGAAGCUCCACGGCAACAAUACCUAUUUCCACGGCUCGGCGCCGAUCCUCGCCAAGUUCGAGGACAGCGAUGACGCCAAGAAGGAGCGGCGGCGCCGUCGUGACGGAAUGCAGACGCACGCCCCGAACAGCGGGUGCAUCUUUCCGCCACCGCACAGCCACCACGAGAACUCCGGAUCGCUUCACACCUCUUCCACGACGCUGAGCAGCGAGAAUGGCGUUUCUAGCAGUCACGGCGGCAGCUCGAGCAGGACCGUCGAGUCGAAAACGUCUUCUAAGAGCACGGCCGGUCCGCGUGGCAGCGGCACCGGUGGCAUCGCUGCCGCCCUGCCGUCCGUGACACCUGCGAGUGCGCCACCGAUGCCACCACCGCCACCGCCUUUUCUGCCUGCCAUGACGGACGUGACGCAGCACACUCCGACGGCAGCCUUUUCCAUGCCGCAGCAGCUGCUGCAGCCGACGCCAGGCUACUGCUACACGCUUGGCGAGAGCGGACAGCAGAUUUUCAUUCCUGCGUCGUCCUUCAGCUCCCCCAUGCCGCCCUACAACUUUGCCCCCGCCACGCAGUCGGCACCGCUUCUGCUGCUGAACCCACCGCUGCAGACCACGGAUGCUGCGGCCAAGCCGAACUUUUCCCUGCUGAAUCCCACUGCGAACGCGACCGUGGUGCUGAUGGAGAAUGGGCUGCAGUACAUGCUGACUCCUGACGCCAUGAACAUGAACUGCGAGCCAUUCACGUCUCCGACGUCGACUUUUGGACCGAUGCUGGCGGGCUCGCAGCCGAAGAGCCUGUUGGGUAUCAGCAGUAAUCAAGCAGCCUACACGAACGGAUCCGCUGGCUCGAUGAACUCCUUCGGCACGUGCCUUGAUGCUGUCUAUACAGACCCACUUCAAGUCGUCCCUCCCCGCUGCGACGCUGAAGAUGAGGUUCUUGGCGAGGCAAGCGUCGCAGGCCCCAACAACGAAGACGCCGUUCGUGUUCACGCUCUGCAGAGCGCGAGCGCCGAGGGAAGCGUGAUCACCGGCCAACGUGGACCAGGAGUGUGGUGGUAGUAGAUGUGAAUGUAGUGAGCACUGUGACAAGCGCACCGGUGCACUGACACGACUUACUGCGCUAUGGACAAGGUGUACACAUCGGUGCGCCAAAAGGUCGGAAUGACGAGUUGCAGUGUGGCACAACGUUAGUCGUUGAGAACACCGUCCGCUUUCUUUUUCGUUUCUCUUCGGUGACGGAGUGUCUUUCCCACUCACUCCCAGCGGGGUUCCAUUAUCCACUGCCACCUCUAGUCGCACUAACUGCAGCAUCUCCUCGGAAAUGUAAAGUGCGCGUAUGCGAUCUUGCAUACGUGCAUCUCGGCACGCAAGAGGCUAGCGCGUGUCGCCAGAGUGUCACCCCAUCGAAGAAAAAAAAAGAAGAAACACUUGUGCUGCUGCUCUCGCCUAAAGCAGUGGUGCAGCCUUCCAUUUUUUUCCUUUGCUGCUUUUUUUUCUUCUCGUUACUGCCUUCCGUUCUUUUCAUGUGCUUGCGUAUCAAAAGGAGAGCAGUCUGCCUGCGCACUCUGACCCGCUCAGCUCCCCACCCCAUGCCACACUGCCUUUUCUGUUGUUUGUUUUGGUUUGUGGCUCUCUCUUCUGCGUCUUUCGCCCCCCCCCCUGCUUGUCUUCUUGUUUUGGGGAACUGCCUCCGCUAACAGCGAGAAAAACAAUAAUCCAUCCUGUUUGGGCUCCUCUUCUGCGUUUCUACGCUUGCGUUCUUUCCUCUCGCUCUCUACAUGCUUCUCAGAUCUCGUUUCUCCCCUCCGUCUUGCAUGGCGCGACCAUAUGUGCUGCAUUCGCAGGGCGAGCUUACGUGUUUGGAUGGAUCUGAGGGCAUGGCGCUCCCUAUUGUUUUGCAUAUAUUGUCCUUCCAAGUGUUUGUGUUCUCUUCUUGUUCUUCUUUCGGCGCUACCCACGUGUCACACAUGCCCUGCGUGCUUCGCUGUACCCGCUGUAUUUUUGUAUAUAUAUUAUUUUUUGUUUUUGCCUUUUGCUCCGGAUACGCUUUUUUCCUUGGGUGCGGAGGGGCUCUUGCCUUUGUCCUCCUUUCUUUUUCCUCCGUCUUCCUGUGCUUUCAUGGAUCGACGCUGGGCACUCACUGGGGGCUCGCCCUUAUUAUUAUCGUCACUAGUGCUCCGACGGUGUUCAUGGAGAUGCACGAAGGUGAGAGGGGCGCACUCCGUGCGCCAACUCCUAUCUUCAGUUCUCUAUGUGCUUUGUCAGACUUGUGGUUGCUGGCGCAGCGGAGUCCUGUGGGUGUGUCUGCUUGAGUUGGCGCUGAAGCCUGGCAAAAGAUCGCUCUUCUUCUUUCCCUCGAAUUGGUUCCUUCCCUUUUCGUGCGCGUUUUCUUCCUCUUUAUAUAUACCUUUUCCCGGAUCCCGUGUGGGUGGUUUCUAUUUUCCUUCAUAUAGAAAAACUUUCAUCAUGCUUUUUCGUUCGUUCUGUUUCUUUUUUUUUUCCUUGGCGGCGGCUUCUUUACGACAAACUUUUUCGCCGCGGUGACUAUUGUUCAAGUCCUGAACGCUUUUUUCUUGCAAUCGUGCACGAGCCCCCCUUGCGGAGGCCAUCUCCGUGCGUCGUAUCCUCAGGGUCCCCAGUGGUGCACGGACUCUGCGGGGGAAGAGAACUCAGGCAGCCUCCCCCGCCCCUAUGUAUCCCCUGCCGAUCCCAAGCCACGUCUGGUGUUGACAGGGUCCAAGUGCCGGCGGCGUAGGGAGGCCGGAGCGAUGUAUUGCUGCUGAUGUCGGCGGCCAGGUGAUGGACAGUGUUCUGCUGGAGCGAGCGGCGACCGUGCACACGCUUGUGCCAUCCACAUGAUGGGCAGAGUGUCAGCCUGGCUCGAGCGCAACCUAUCACCCAGAUCCCCUCGCACUGGCCUACUGAUGUGUGUGUGUGUGUGGGAGGGCGGGAGGCCUGAGGCGCGUGGGGUGGGUGGAGUUUAAUGCCGGGGCCGUGCUCGCAGAUGACUGCGUCGCCGCAUUGCUGUACGUUGCGCGUGUCUAGCGCUGCUUUGGACCAGGCGCAUGGGGCCUGUGAGAGACGUGGUAGAGUGGUACCCAGCCCCUGCGCUGUGGCAGAAUAGACACGGUGAAAGUGUGCAUCUGGUAGUAAAAAAGCUUGUCCGAAGGUUGCGGCCAGUGCCUGUUAUCCUUUUUUCUUCCCUGUGUUUUGAAUCCCUG